GACGAACGCUGGCGGCGUGCUUAACACAUGCAAGUCGAACGGAAAGGCCCUGCUUUUGUGGGGUGCUCGAGUGGCGAACGGGUGAGUAAUACGUGAGUAACCUGCCCUUGACUUUGGGAUAGCUUCAGGAAACUGGGGCUAAUACCGGAUAGGAGCUCCUGCUGCAUGGUGGGGGUUGGAAAGUUUCGGCGGUUGGGGAUGGACUCGCGGCUUAUCAGCUUGUUGGUGGGGUAGUGGCUUACCAAGGCUUUGACGGGUAGCCGGCCUGAGAGGGUGACCGGCCACAUUGGGACUGAGAUACGGCCCAGACUCCUACGGGAGGCAGCAGUGGGGAAUAUUGCACAAUGGGCGGAAGCCUGAUGCAGCAACGCCGCGUGCGGGAUGACGGCCUUCGGGUUGUAAACCGCUUUCGCCUGUGACGAAGCGUGAGUGACGGUAAUGGGUAAAGAAGCACCGGCUAACUACGUG
rnacentral:rRNA from 1 species